GUAGGUGGCAAGCGUUGUCCGGAAUUAUUGGGCGUAGAGCGCGCGCAGGCGGUCCUUUAAGUCUGAUGUGAAAGCCCACGGCUCAACCGUGGAGGGUCAUUGGAAACUGGGGGACUUGAGUACAGAAGAGGAAAGCGGAAUUCCAAGUGUAGCGGUGAAAUGCGUAGAGAUUUGGAGGAACACCAGUGGCGAAGGCGGCUUUCUGGUCUGUAACUGACGCUGAGGCGCGAAAGCGUGGGGAGCAAACAGGGAUUAGAUACCCUGGUAGUCCACGCCGUAAACGAUGAGUGCUAAGUGUUAGGGGGUUUCCGCCCCCUUAGUGCUGCAGCUAACGCAUUAAGCACUCCGCCUGGGGAUACGGCCGCAAGGCUG
rnacentral:rRNA from 1 species